AUUAGGCAAAUCCGGUACUCAUUAAGGCUGAGCUGUGAUGGGGAGAAGACAUUGUGUCUUCGAGUCGUUGAUUUCACACUGCCGAGAAAAGCCUCUAGAUAGAAAAUAGGUGCCCGUACCGCAAACCGACACAGGUAGUCAAGAUGAGAAUUCUAAGGUGAGCGAGCGAACUCUCGUUAAGGAACUCGGCAAAAUGACCCCGUAACUUCGGGAGAAGGGGUGCUCUUUAGGGUUAACGCCCAGAAGAGCCGCAGUGAAUAGGCCCAAGCGACUGUUUAUCAAAAACACAGGUCUCUGCUAAACCGUAAGGUGAUGUAUAGGGGCUGACGCCUGCCCGGUGCUGGAAGGUUAAGAGGAGUGGUUAGCUUCUGCGAAGCUACGAAUCGAAGCCCCAGUAAACGGCGGCCGUAACUAUAACGGUCCUAAGGUAGCGAAAUUCCUUGUCGGGUAAGUUCCGACCCGCACGAAAGGCGUAACGAUUUGGGCACUGUCUCAACGAGAGACUCGGUGAAAUCAUAGUACCUGUGAAGAUGCAGGUUACCCGCGACAGGACGGAAAGACCCCGUGGAGCUUUACUGUAGCCUGAUAUUGAAAUUCGGCACAGCUUGUACAGGAUAGGUAGGAGCCUUUGAAACGUGAGCGCUAGCUUACGUGGAGGCGCUGGUGGGAUACUACCCUAGCUGUGUUGGCUUUCUAACCCGCACCACUUAUCGUGGUGGGAGACAGUGUCAGGCGGGCAGUUUGACUGGGGCGGUCGCCUCCUAAAAGGUAACGGAGGCGCUCAAAGGUUCCCUCAGAAUGGUUGGAAAUCAUUCAUAGAGUGUAAAGGCAUAAGGGAGCUUGACUGCGAGACCUACAAGUCGAGCAGGGUCGAAAGAC
rnacentral:rRNA from 1 species